CUCAGUGUGUAAACAUAGAUCCUCUGACAGUGCAGAACGUGCACUUCUUAGAACUUCGCUGUCUGGAGGAGUCAUGCUCACUAGUAAGAGGCCGCUGAGGCUGGACGGAGGGCACUUGGGCGGCAAUUCCACAACUCCCAGGUCCUGACGUUAAAGGAGCUUUGGCCAAUGCUCACGCGGGAGCUCUCUGGCUGAGAAGACAAGCUCCGUGACCUCAGGACCCAAAGCGGUCUGCGACUACGGCAGGAGGAGGCUGUGGACACAUUCGGCCGAAUAGAAGCGUCUAACGCCAGCUACCUAGGUUAUGAUGAACGGUGCCCUGAUGCCCCUCCUGUCUCCGGGAUUAUCCGCAAAGUGGGUUUAAGACCGGAUGCCUGCGCGGGGGACUUUAUCCGCGGAAUGGAGACAGCAGGUUCUGUCCAGCCUGCCUGCUACAGCUGCGGCUCUCAGCACACCCGACGGUCCCCAACCUGCUCUGGCUCCGCCUUGUGCUUUCACGCGUGCCCUCCUUCGGCGCCCGUCCCGCCACCCAGCCACACACCUGCAGUCCCCGGCGGGCGCCCGGCGCCGAGCCCCUCUCCAGCGGCGACUCCCGGCAAUUCACGACUCAAGGUCCGGAACCUGCGGAGCAUCUGAGGAACAACCCCCGGCUCGGAGCCCGCCUGCCCUCGGGAGGUACAGGCCCUGCCGGUGUUUCUUGGUCGCCGAAGGACGCCAGCGCAGAGCCGGCCGACACCCCAGAAGGACAAGAAUAAAGCUGCCUUGAGGACACCUCAGAAACCAGCAGGUUCAAGAGUACAAAAAUGUGAACCUUUCAUUUAAGAAGAGAGCUUCUGGGAGCCCUGCUUAAGGAGGACCUCCUGGGGAAUUGGUUCCCCAGGAUUCAUUUCAAUGUGUUCAGUCUUCCGGGAACCCAGAAGGCACCACAGCCAUAGUUCAAGGAUGCCCAUCUACUGCUCAAGCAGGCAGCAGACCUAGGCAUUGUUCACUCAGUGUUGGUUUUUCAGGCCUGCAGAAUCAAGGAUUGUGGAGUGAGGUAAGAUGCCACCCAGAUUUCAAAGGAAGCACUAGGAAACUAAGCAAGAAGUCUUUGAGAGGGAAUGAAGCUGAGGGUGCAGUGGAAUCCACAGAAAGUCGGAGAUGCCAGAAAUUUGAAACAUCUAUCUAGGAAAGCUGCAGGCCAUGAGUAGAACCAGCCCAAGAGAGAGACCAUAUGGGCUGCAACCAGCAAGACCAUGGGUGGGGCUGCCUAAGCUCUUUGGAACUCACUUCUCAUUACCAUGUACCCUAAAUGGUAGUUAUGGAGCUCUAGGACUUAAAAUUUGCCCUGCUAGGUUUUGAUCCAAGUCUUUUCUGUCCUCCUAUUCCUCCCAUUCAGAAUGGGAAUCUUUACUCGGUGCCAUUGACCUUGAGAUUAUAUAACUUGUUUCUGAUUUUUGUAGAAGUUCACAGCUAAGAGUUUGCCUUGAGUCUCAGAAGAAAUUUGGACUUGCACUUUUGAAAAAUGCUGAAAUUAUUGAAACUUUGGGGGAAGUAACUGUGUUUCUGAUUAUAUGCAGGUAGUUGUAUUAUGUUAGGUGGACUUAUGAACUUGCUGUUGUCUUUAUUUGGAGACUAAGUAUGGUUUAAGGAGAUGUGUUUGUAUAUGAAGUUGACAAGGGUUGGGAUGUGGAAAUUAGGAUAGAGUUUCAACUAGACUGGUUUUAGGAUCUGCCCAGGGGAUUAGUGGAGCACACUUCUGUGGGUGUGUCUGGGUGGGUCAUGCAGGUGUGGCCUUGGGGUCUAUAUCUGGUCCUUCACCCCUUUCUCUCUGGCAUUGUUACUCUACUCUGCUUCUGGCCACCAUGAGCUAAGUGUCUUUUCUCUGCCUUAGAGCCAGCCAACCAUGUACUGAAUCUCCUGAAACCAUGAACCAAAUUAAACCUCUCAAUCUUUAAAUUGUGGGUGUUGAGUAUUAUGUCCAGUGAAAGGAAAGCUGACUAAUCCAGCCUCACAAGUUGGCAUCUAAACUUUAUGGAAAAACAGCUUCAGAGAUAAGCAAAAAAUCUAUUUUCAUUAGGGUCUUUGUGAGCUGGAGCAUAGCAGCAAAACAAGGGCAUGAGAGGGUCAAAGGAAACACACCUGGCCUCUGGCUCCUUGUAAAGGAAAAGUAUUGCUUUAGAACCAUUCCCUAGGGUGUUCAGGGAGACUGAUGUUAGCACAGUCACUGCUAUGAGACUGCCCUGGGGACCCUCAGCAAUAACCAAGGAGACUCUGAAAGAAUCUAGAGUUCCUGGAGCAGAGAUCAGGAGCUCAAAUAUCUCCAAAGGCCAGGAAGGUCAAUGAGAUGAGGUUUCCUUAAUAUAAUAUGACAUUUCAUAACAGCAUUGUUUAUACUCUGCACCUCCUGAAAGAAACCUUGGUAAAUGUCAGUCUUUUAUUCCCCCAGAUCAAUAAGAUUUUUCUCUCCCUGUAUAGCUUUUCCAUGUUCUUUUCAUGAUUUAUUUUCUGUUGGCAUCUUAUAUCUGAUUCUACCAACAGACACAGUUUUAAUAUUAAACCUAUAGGGAUAUUCUUCACUUCCUCCAAGCAGUAUACUUGUGCUAUUACUCUUGAAGCACAUAGCCCUCUUGGCCACUUUUAUUUUUUCUAUAUUUUCUAGAGACAUAAUUGCAUGAAAUAUUUCCCUUUCACUUAAUUCCAUUAUAAGGAAAGUGAUUGCACAAACACAAAAAUCUGGCAAUUGACCCUUGACUCUGAUAUCUGGGAAACAAUAGGAUAUGUAGACAAUAGGGUUUGGAGAAGAUGCUAAUAUGGUAAGUGAGGUGAACUCUAAGGGAGGUCCCUGGGGCUCAGCCUCAGCCCACUGUGGCCAUGUGGAAAUAUAAGACUGGCAUAGCCAGAUCUUAUGAUUUUUCGAAGAAGAACCAGAAAUUAGAAUUCUUAUCUGAAAUCUACUAAUUUUUAACAUGGUAACUAAUUCAAAACAGUAUUUUAAAAUCCUUUGCAUGCCAAAGUGACAUGACCUACAGGCUUUGAGUUUGUGACAUCUGUUCUAUAUUACCUAGGUGGGAGCAUGUGCCAGUGAAACCUGAG
ensembl:lncRNA